AGUGAAGUGCCUGACUAAAGGAUUAUCGUGAUAGGGUAAAUAAUGUAAUAUAUUACCUUCACUA
rnacentral:tRNA from 1 species